CUAAGGAACGAACCGGUAGAGUAGUACCCAAAACCCGAAUAGAAUCGAAGAACCGACUCUCAGAAGUUACAGAGCUUUCUCUCUCAGACCCAAAUUUUCAUAAACCCUAACCCCCGUCGCUCCCCAAAAUCGUAGCUUCCCUACAAAACCCGCAUUGCGAAACCCUAAUUCGUCGUUCUCUUGGGCAAUGACGAAGGCGUACGGAACAGGCGCGUACGAUUUCAAGCGCCACCAUGUUACCGAGUACCCAGUGGAGCUGAACCACCAGCUCGGAGAGAAGCCGGUGGAGGCUAAACCCGGCGCGGCGCUGCCGAGCUCGAUAACGCGGUAGGAGAUUCAGAGGGACCAGCUCACUAUGAUUGCCGCUGCUAAUUGGUCCAAAGCCAGCGGGCAGGUGUAGAAGGCGUUUGACGCGGAGCUGGUGAAGAAGAUUUACUGUGGAAUAUGGUACUUGAGGCUGAUGUUGCUGUUGUUCCGAAAUGCUACUUGAGUGCUUUGUAUAUACAUGAAAAGGGGAAGCUCUUUACCCAACUUGUUGACUUGCUGCAGUUUUAUGAAGGAUUUGAGAUUAAUGAUAAUUUUGGGAAACAAUUGACGGAUGAUGAAGUGCUCCAAUCUCAUUAUGAUCGCGUACAAUCUUUUCAGCUGCUUGCUUUUACAAAGAUUCCUAAGUUGCAACAGCUUGCAUUGGUUUAAUUGACAACCGAAAUGAUCUCUCUAAAAGAUUGUCUGUACUUUCUCCUGAAGAAUUGAAGGAUUUGGUUUGUUCAAAGGCAUAUGAUAAAAGGGAGAGUAAAGCUUUCAUUGCAUUUAGAGAAGCACUGAAGUUCAAGUUUGUUCCUUCUCCAUUAAUAAAACUGUCAAUCACUCUCUCUCUCUCUCCCAAUACGUGCGUGUCCCCUCUGUCAUUACUUCAUUUUAUUUAUUGACACUUUCUAUGCCUGGUGACAGAUGAAACAGCUAUUAACUGUGGGAGAACUACAGCCAUGUUGCUUUAGAUGUUGGCAAUGUUGCUCAGGCAAGUGCUUUCUUCCAAAGAAGUGGCAUAUAUAUUUUCACAUGAGAUGUAUGCUUGGUGGUCUGCGCAAGUCUCAGCUUUUCUGGGUGAUCGCAUAGGACACUGCAUGUAUGAACUGCAAAAGAGAAAAAAGAACUUAAAAAGAUACAAGAAAUAUGAAAAAGUGGUAGUUAGAAAGUAAUCAAGCAAAUCUUCAUGUAUAAGGUCCAUAAUGUCUAGAUGCUGUUCACUGCUCAAGAUCAUCCUAAGCAGUCCAUGCUAUUCUUUCAUCAUUUCUAAGCUUUUUUAUUGUUGAUUAUUUCUUGUAGGCUCCAGAAGCUCUAGGAAGGUGUUUUUUUUUUUUUUUUUUUUGGAAAGAUAAAGAUAUUUUAUUACUAGAUAUGAUUAUAAUUGUACAUGAGGGCAUCCAAAAAACUCUGGAGCAUUAACAAACCAUUCAAGACGGAGGUUUGAGUCAAAACUAUAGCUAGCUAAAUGAUGAGCAACCAUGUUUGCUUGCCUGGGUGCAAAGUUAACUGUAACCUCCCCCACAGCAGCCACAAGGCCUUGAAUAUCAGAUAUCAGAGCACCUAAGUCGGACAAAUCUCCACCCAAAGAGUUAAUGGCCUGGACUGCUACUAGAUAAUCACUCUCUACAACCACCUUGAUAACAUUCAUAGCCUGCAGAAACUCCAAGCCAUAUUUCAAAGCCCGAAGUUCAGCGUGUAAGGGAGAGCUGACAAAGUCAUCCUUGAUUGUUCCUAAUGACACCACCUGUACCUCCAUACUGAAUAGAGGGGAGAAAAGCCCGUCAACAGUCAGUUUAAGAGUACCAGUCACCGGAGUAGACCACUGUUUCCGACCGGUAGAUCCUCUUCAAUCUGCAGCCUCAAGAACCUGAUUGGCUUGGGAAUACUCCUCAAACCAAGCCAUAGAGGCCACAAUGCUAGGCCAGUAGGCCCUGUUUGAGAAUGGUCUCUCCAUAACUUGUCAUUCCUGUUCCUCCAAAUACUCUAAAGCAAGACAAGCAGCUUGUCAUUUGUCAAAGCAAGCUGAUGACAUCGAAUUGACCCUUUCCAAGAUAAAGAAGAUGGAAUGGAAAAAGGAAGAGCUCCUACUAUCUUUCUAGUCAAGCUGCGUUGACAAAAUAGAAGCUCUAGGCUGGUGUUGGAUCAUACUAAUAAUAAGAAAUUGAUGCUGAGUUAUUGGAAAGAAUUAUGACAGAGUUGAAAAGCAUGGCUUCACCUACUAAUUCAGCAAUGUCUGAUGAUGAAGAUAACUUCCUCGUUAGUGGGACCACUAAUGCAGCAUCUGAGGUGGGAAAAUUUCGGGAAGCUGAGCACUUAGGCUGUGUUUGUUUCACAGAUUUUGGCCUUUGGGAAAGGAUCCUUUCCUGUGUUUCCUGUGUUUGGGAUGACAAUGGAAGGGAAAAUGCUUCCCAAAGGAAAGGAAAAAGAGGAGGAAAAUGAUUCCCCACCCCAGGAUCCACUUUCCGUCCGGAUUUCCUGUAUUAUUUUAAAACAUUAUAUGACUAAAUUGCCCUGCUCAAAAUCAUUAUUUGCUAGUUUUAUCCCCAUUAUCAUUUAGAUUCUUAUUUGCUAGUUUUAUCCCCAUUUUCUUUUGUACAUUUUUCUUUAAUGAUAUUUA